UACGUAGGGUGCAAGCGUUGUCCGGAAUUAUUGGGUUUAAAGGGUGCGUAGGCGGACUUAUAAGUCAGUGGUGAAAUCUCGUUGCUUAACAACGAACGUGCCAUUGAUACUGUAGGUCUUGAGUACAGAUGCCGUUGGCGGAAUGUGUCAUGUAGCGGUGAAAUGCAUAGAUAUGACACAGAACACCGAUUGCGAAGGCAGCUGACGAAACUGUAACUGACGCUGAGGCACGAAAGCGUGGGGAGCAAACAGG
rnacentral:rRNA from 1 species